GGUUAAGCGACUAAGCGUACACGGUGGAUGCCCUGGCAGUCAGAGGCGAUGAAGGGCGUGCUAAUCUGCGAUAAGCGCCGGUAAGGUGAUAUGAACCGUUAUAACCGGCGAUACCCGAAUGGGGAAACCCAGUGUGAUUCGUCACACUAUCAUUAACUGAAUCCAUAGGUUAAUGAGGCGAACCGGGGGAACUGAAACAUCUAAGUACCCCGAGGAAAAGAAAUCAACCGAGAUUCCCCCAGUAGCGGCGAGCGAACGGGGAGGAGCCCAGAGCCUGAAUCAGCAUGUGUGUUAGUGGAAGCGUCUGGAAAGGCGCGCGAUACAGGGUGACAGCCCCGUACACAAAAGCGCAUGUGCUGUGAGCUCGAUGAGUAGGGCGGGACACGUGGUAUCCUGUCUGAAUAUGGGGGGACCAUCCUCCAAGGCUAAAUACUCCUGACUGACCGAUAGUGAACCAGUACCGUGAGGGAAAGGCGAAAAGAACCCCGGCGAGGGGAGUGAAAAAGAACCUGAAACCGUGUACGUACAAGCAGUGGGAGCACCCUUCGGGGUGUGACUGCGUACCUUUUGUAUAAUGGGUCAGCGACUUAUAUUCUGUAGCAAGGUUAACCGUAUAGGGGAGCCGGAGGGAAACCGAGUCUUAAUUGGGCGUUAAGUUGCAGGGUAUAGACCCGAAACCCGGUGAUCUAGCCAUGGGCAGGUUGAAGGUUGGGUAACACUAACUGGAGGACCGAACCGACUAAUGUUGAAAAAUUAGCGGAUGACCUGUGGCUGGGGGUGAAAGGCCAAUCAAACCGGGAGAUAGCUGGUUCUCCCCGAAAGCUAUUUAGGUAGCGCCUCGUGAAUUCAUCUCCGGGGGUAGAGCACUGUUUCGGCUAGGGGGCCAUCCCGGCUUACCAACCCGAUGCAAACUGCGAAUACCGGAGAAUGUUAUCACGGGAGACACACGGCGGGUGCUAACGUCCGUCGUGAAGAGGGAAACAACCCAGACCGCCAGCUAAGGUCCCAAAGUCAUGGUUAAGUGGGAAACGAUGUGGGAAGGCCCAGACAGCCAGGAUGUUGGCUUAGAAGCAGCCAUCAUUUAAAGAAAGCGUAAUAGCUCACUGGUCGAGUCGGCCUGCGCGGAAGAUGUAACGGGGCUAAACCAUGCACCGAAGCUGCGGCAGCGAACGUAUCACCCAAGACAACUUUACGGAGUUGACGAUUGACGGAGCGAAGCGACGUCAAAGCGUUCAUUAAAGUCGAGUUGGCUUAGGGAUACGUUCGUUGGGUAGGGGAGCGUUCUGUAAGCCUGUGAAGGUGUGUCGUGAGGCAUGCUGGAGGUAUCAGAAGUGCGAAUGCUGACAUAAGUAACGAUAAAGCGGGUGAAAAGCCCGCUCGCCGGAAGACCAAGGGUUCCUGUCCAACGUUAAUCGGGGCAGGGUGAGUCGACCCCUAAGGCGAGGCCGAAAGGCGUAGUCGAUGGGAAACGGGUUAAUAUUCCCGUACUUGGUGUUACUGCGAAGGGGGGACGGAGAAGGCUAUGUUGGCCGGGCGACGGUUGUCCCGGUUUAAGCGUGUAGGUGUGUGUUCCAGGUAAAUCCGGUUCACUUUAACACUGAGGCGUGACGACGAGGCACUACGGUGCUGAAGCAACAAAUGCCCUGCUUCCAGGAAAAGCCUCUAAGCAUCAGGUAACAUCAAAUCGUACCCCAAACCGACACAGGUGGUCAGGUAGAGAAUACCAAGGCGCUUGAGAGAACUCGGGUGAAGGAACUAGGCAAAAUGGUGCCGUAACUUCGGGAGAAGGCACGCUGACACGUAGGUGAAGUGAUUUACUCAUGGAGCUGAAGUCAGUCGAAGAUACCAGCUGGCUGCAACUGUUUAUUAAAAACACAGCACUGUGCAAACACGAAAGUGGACGUAUACGGUGUGACGCCUGCCCGGUGCCGGAAGGUUAAUUGAUGGGGUCAGCGCAAGCGAAGCUCCUGAUCGAAGCCCCGGUAAACGGCGGCCGUAACUAUAACGGUCCUAAGGUAGCGAAAUUCCUUGUCGGGUAAGUUCCGACCUGCACGAAUGGCGUAAUGAUGGCCAGGCUGUCUCCACCCGAGACUCAGUGAAAUUGAACUCGCUGUGAAGAUGCAGUGUACCCGCGGCAAGACGGAAAGACCCCGUGAACCUUUACUAUAGCUUGACACUGAACAUUGAGCCUUGAUGUGUAGGAUAGGUGGGAGGCUUUGAAGUGUGGACGCCAGUCUGCAUGGAGCCGACCUUGAAAUACCACCCUUUAAUGUUUGAUGUUCUAACGUGGACCCGUAAUCCGGGUUGCGGACAGUGUCUGGUGGGUAGUUUGACUGGGGCGGUCUCCUCCUAAAGAGUAACGGAGGAGCACGAAGGUUGGCUAAUCCUGGUCGGACAUCAGGAGGUUAGUGCAAUGGCAUAAGCCAGCUUGACUGCGAGCGUGACGGCGCGAGCAGGUGCGAAAGCAGGUCAUAGUGAUCCGGUGGUUCUGAAUGGAAGGGCCAUCGCUCAACGGAUAAAAGGUACUCCGGGGAUAACAGGCUGAUACCGCCCAAGAGUUCAUAUCGACGGCGGUGUUUGGCACCUCGAUGUCGGCUCAUCACAUCCUGGGGCUGAAGUAGGUCCCAAGGGUAUGGCUGUUCGCCAUUUAAAGUGGUACGCGAGCUGGGUUUAGAACGUCGUGAGACAGUUCGGUCCCUAUCUGCCGUGGGCGCUGGAGAACUGAGGGGGGCUGCUCCUAGUACGAGAGGACCGGAGUGGACGCAUCACUGGUGUUCGGGUUGUCAUGCCAAUGGCACUGCCCGGUAGCUAAAUGCGGAAGAGAUAAGUGCUGAAAGCAUCUAAGCACGAAACUUGCCCCGAGAUGAGUUCUCCCUGAGACUUUAGGUCUCCUGAAGGAACGUUGAAGACGACGACGUUGAUAGGCCGGGUGUGUAAGCGCAGCGAUGCGUUGAGCUAACCGGUACUAAUGAACCGUGAGGCUUAACCUU
rnacentral:rRNA from 1 species